rnacentral:rRNA from 1 species
AUUGAACGCUGGCGGCAGGACUAACACAUGCAAGUCGAACGAGUGGCGGACGGGUGAGUAAUGUCUGGGAAACUGCCUGAUGGAGGGGGAUAACUACUGGAAACGGUAGCUAAUACCGCAUACCAUCGGAUGUGCCCAGAUGGGAUUAGAUAGUAGGUGGGGUAAAGGCCAACAUAGGCGACGAUCCCUAGCUGGUCUGAGGGGAUGACCAGCCACACUGGAGCUGAGACACGGGCCAGACUCCUACGGGAGGCAGCAGUGGGUAAUAUUGCACAAGUGGCGCAAGCCUGAUGCAGCCAUGCCGCGUGUAUGAAGAAGGCCUUCGGGUUGUAAAGUACUUUCAGCGGGGAGGCGUUACCCGCAGAAGAAGCACCGGCUAACUCCGGGCCAGCCGCCGCGGUAAUUC